rnacentral:rRNA from 1 species
CUCCGGUUGAUCCUGCCGGACCCGACUGCUAUCAGAGUGGGACUAAGCCAUGCGAGUCAACGCAGCAAUGCGUGGCAUACGGCUCAGUAACACGUAGUCAACAUGCCCAGGGGACGAGGAUAACCUCGGGAAACUGAGGAUAAACCUCGAUAGGCCAUGAUUUCUGGAAUGAUUCUUGGCUCAAACCUAUAUGGCCCCUGGAUUGGACUGCGGCCGAUCAGGCUGUUGGUGAGGUAAUGGCCCACCAAACCUAUUACCGGUACGGGCUCUGAGAGGAGGAGCCCGGAGAUGGGCACUGAGACAAGGGCCCAGGCCCUAUGGGGCGCAGCAGGCGCGAAACCUCUGCAAUAGGCGAAAGCUUGACAGGGUUACUCUGAGUGAUUUCCGCUAAGGGAAUCUUUUGGCACCUCUAAAAAUGGUGCAGAAUAAGGGGUGGGCAAGUCUGGUGUCAGCCGCCGCGGUAAUACCAGCACCCCGAGUGGUCGGGACGAUUAUUGGGCCUAAAGCAUCCGUAGCCGGUCCUGCAAGUCUUCCGUUAAAUCCAGCUGCUCAACAGAUGGGCUGCAGGAGAUACUACAGGGCUAGGAGGCGGGAGAGGCAAGCGGUACUUUAUGGGUAGGGGUAAAAUCCGCUGAUCCAUAGAAGACCACCAGUGGCGAAGGCGGCUUGCCAGAACGCGCUCGACGGUGAGGGAUGAAAGCUGGGGGAGCAAACCGGAUUAGAUACCCGGGUAGUCCCAGCUGUAAACGAUGCAGACUCGGUGAUGGGUUGGCCUCGCGCCUGCCCAGUGCCGCAGGGAAGCCGUUAAGUCUGCCGCCUGGGGAGUACGGUCGCAAGACUGAAACUUAAAGGAAUUGGCGGGGGAGCA